UUAAUCCUGGAGGAUGCCUAGUGCCCCUUGUGUUUAAUCCUGGAGAUGCCUCGUGUCCUUUGGAGUGCACUCACCCAGCUGUCUUCAUCUGGCACCACAGCAGCAAUGCAUCCUUAGCAGACUUUUUCUCUUUGUUAUCUUCAGUCUCCACACUGAUAUCCUGGAUCUAAAGUUUAAGAAGAAAUAUUAGGCAAACACCCUACUGAUCUAUCUGCCUGAGAGCUGCUGAAAAACAGAUAAAGGCAGGGGAGGCCCCAGUCAUGUAUGAAAUGGACAUGUUCAUCACCAUCAGUCUUCAUGAGCUCUGGGUAUGCAAAGGAUGCUAUGAAUGAGGUUAUUGAAGACUUCCAAGAGGCAGUCAGAGUAUGCCCUGGAGCCACCCCAUUUCCUGACUGUUG